rnacentral:rRNA from 1 species
AGCGAACGUUAGCGGCGGGCCUAACACAUGCAAGUCGCACGAGAAUGAGGGGGCAACUCCUCUAGUAAAGUGGCGGACGGGUGCGUAACACGUGGGUAAUUUACCUGCCGGCGGGGGACAACCUUCCGAAAGGAGGGCUAAUACCGCGUACGUCGGCGAGGGCUCCGGCCCUUGUCGGGAAAGGUGGCCUCUUCAUGAAAGCUACCACCGGCAGAUGAACCCGCGGCCCAUCAGCUAGUUAGUGAGGUAAUGGCUCACCAAGGCUAAGACGGGUAGAUGGUCGGAGAGGAUGAACAGCCACACUGGGAAUGCGAGACGGCCCAGACUCCUCCGGGAGGCAGCAGUGGGGAAUCUUGCGCAAUGGGCGAAAGCCUGACGCAGCGACGCCGCGUGAGUGAUGAAGGCCUUCGGGUUGUAAAGCUCUGUGGAGGGGGACGAAUAAGGCUUGGCUAACAUCCAAGUCGAUGACGGUACCCCUUUAGCAAGCACCGGCUAACUCUGUGCCAGCCGCCGCGGUAACAC